rnacentral:rRNA from 1 species
AGUGGCGAACGGGUGAGUAAUGCAUCGGAACGUACCGUGUAGUGGGGGAUAACGUAGCGAAAGUUACGCUAAUACCGCAUACGCCCUGAGGGGGAAAGUGGGGGACCGCAAGGCCUCACGCUAUAUGAGCGGCCGAUGUCGGAUUAGCUAGUUGGUAGGGUAAAGGCCUACCAAGGCGACGAUCCGUAGCGGGUCUGAGAGGAUGAUCCGCCACACUGGGACUGAGACACGGCCCAGACUCCUACGGGAGGCAGCAGUGGGGAAUUUUGGACAAUGGGCGCAAGCCUGAUCCAGCCAUGCCGCGUGAGUGAAGAAGGCCUUCGGGUUGUAAAGCUCUUUCAGACGGAAAGAAAUCUCUCGGGAUAACACCCUGGGAGGAUGACGGUACCGUAAGAAGAAGCACCGGCUAACUACGUGCCAGCAGCCGCGGUAAUACGUAGGGUGCGAGCGUUAAUCGGAAUUACUGGGCGUAAAGCGUGCGCAGGCGGUGAUGUAAGACAGAUGUGAAAUCCCCGGGCUCAACCUGGGAACUGCGUUUGUGACUGCAUCACUCGAGUACGGCAGAGGGAGGUGGAAUUCCGCGUGUAGCAGUGAAAUGCGUAGAUAUGCGGAGGAACACCGAUGGCGAACGCAGCCUCCUGGGCCAGUACUGACGCUCAUGCACGAAAGCGUGG